rnacentral:rRNA from 1 species
CAGUCGCCGCGGUAAUACGAAGGGGGCUAGCGUUGCUCGGAAUUACUGGGCGUAAAGGGCGCGUAGGCGGACAGUUCAGUCGGGGGUGAAAGCCCGGGGCUCAACCUCGGAAUUGCCUUCGAUACUGGCUGUCUUGAGUAUGAGAGAGGUGUGUGGAACUCCGAGUGUAGAGGUGAAAUUCGUAGAUAUUCGGAAGAACACCAGUGGCGAAGGCGACACACUGGCUCAUUACUGACGCUGAGGCGCGAAAGCGUGGGGAGCAAACAGGAUUAGAUACCCCAGUAGUCCCUGUCUCUUAUAC